rfam:Helianthus annuus linkage group 3, whole genome shotgun sequence.
CUGGGGUGAUGCAACUUAGCCAAAUCAGACGAUGAUGUGCUCCAUAGGUAGGCUGUUUUAAGUAGCUUGUGCCUUUGUUGAAGCGCAUCAUCUCUUUGAUGAUAAAAACAGAGAUCGGUUUUUUGCUGACCAGG